UCAUUCGUAGCCCAAAUGGGAGCGCGUUGAUCUCUCACAAGGACAUCCCGGGAUCGAGUCCCCACGGAUGCA
rnacentral:tRNA from 1 species